rnacentral:rRNA from 1 species
AUGUCGCGGCUCUCGAUGGCGACGCUGCUCCUGCUCUCCCUUGCGCUGGCGACGGCCCCGCGCCUCGCCGUCGUGGAGGCGGUCGUCGUGGAAGGCCUGAGGGUGGGGUUCUACAACAGGACGUGCCCGGACGCCGAGCAGGUGGUCCGCGACGUGGUGAUGAACGACUACGCCAUGGACCACACCAUCGCCCCGGGCCUCAUCCGCAUCUUCUUCCACGACUGCUUCAUCACGGGGUGCGACGCGUCCAUCCUGCUGGACGAGUCCCCGUCGGGCGACAUCCCGGAGAAGGAGUCGUCGGCGAACGGGUUCACCCUGCACGGCCUGCAGACGAUCGACGUGGCCAAGGCGAGCAUCGAGGCCAUGUGCCCGCGCACGGUGUCGUGCUCCGACAUCCUGUCGUUCGCGGCGCGCGACGCGGCGGUGGCGGCGGGGCUGCCGAGCUACGAGGUGGCCGGCGGGCGGCGCGACGGCACGCACUCCCGGAUGGACGACCUGCCGGGCAACUUCCCGGUGCCGGGGCACACGGUGCCGCGGCUGACGGAGCUGUUCGCGAGCCGGGGCCUGUCGCAGGAGGACCUGGUGACGCUCUCCGGGGCGCACUCCAUCGGGGGCGCGCACUGCUUCAUGUUCUCCAACCGCAUCUACGGCUUCUCCAAGACGGCGGACAUCGAUCCGUCGCUGGAUCCGGCGUUCGCGCAGCGGCUGCGGAAGAUGUGCCCGCGGCCCAGGCCGGACGACAACCCGCAGCAGGCGCCCAAGGUGAACUUCGACGAGCGCACCGGGGAGAAGCUGGACAACGCCUACUACCAGGAGCUGCUGGCGCGGCGGAGCCUGCUGACCUCGGACAACACGCUGGCGCUGGACCCGCAGACGAGGCCGCUGGUGGAGCAGUACGCCAAGGACGACGCGCUGUUCCAGCAGAGGUUCGGGGAGGCGAUGCAGAAGGUGAGCGCGCUGGACGUGAUCAUCAAGAAGAACAAGGGGCAGAUCAGGCGGGACUGCCGGAUGGUGAACAAGGCCAGGGGGGUACGCUGGAUGCCCAUCCACUUUCUCAAGCCCCCCAAGCACCCCAUGCUCCAGAUGAUCAACUGGUUCAUCCGUGGCUUCCAGCAGAACUAA